ensembl:miRNA
GUGAGAGGACUGCUUGAGCCCAGGAGGUUGAGGCUGCAAUGAGUCGCGAUCAUGCCACUGCACUCCAGCCUGAGUGACAGAGCAAGACCCUGUCUC